AUUGAACGCUGGCGGAAUGCUUUACACAUGCAAGUCGAACGGUAACAGGUCUUCGGAUGCUGACGAGUGGCGAACGGGUGAGUAAUAUAUCGGAACGUGCCCAGUCGUGGGGAAUAACGUAGCGAAAGUUACGCUAAUACCGCAUACGAUCUAAGGAUGAAAGCGGGGGAUCGCAAGACCUCGCGCGAUUGGAGCGGCCGAUAUCAGAUUAGGUAGUUGGUGGGGUAAAGGCUCACCAAGCCAACGAUCUGUAGCUGGUCUGAGAGGACGACCAGCCACACUGGAACUGAGACACGGUCCAGACUCCUACGGGAGGCAGCAGUGGGGAAUUUUGGACAAUGGACGCAAGUCUGAUCCAGCCAUUCCGCGUGCAGGAUGAAGGCCCUCGGGUUGUAAACUGCUUUUGUACGGAACGAAAAGGUUUCUAUUAAUACUAGGAGCUCAUGACGGUACCGUAAGAAUAAGCACCGGCUAACUACGUG
rnacentral:rRNA from 1 species